rnacentral:rRNA from 1 species
GAUGAACGCUGGCGGCGUGCCUAAUACAUGCAAGUCGAGCGAACAGACGAGGAGCUUGCUCCUCUGACGUUAGCGGCGGACGGGUGAGUAACACGUGGAUAACCUACCUAUAAGACUGGGAUAACUUCGGGAAACCGGAGCUAAUACCGGAUAAUAUAUUGAACCGCAUGGUUCAAUAGUGAAAGACGGUUUUGCUGUCACUUAUAGAUGGAUCCGCGCCGCAUGAGCUAGUUGGUAAGGUAACGGCUUACCAAGGCAACGAUGCGUAGCCGACCUGUGAGGGUGAUCGGCCACACUGGAACUGAGACACGGUCCAGACUCCUACGGGAGGCCGCAGUAGGGAAUCUUCCGCAAUGGGCGAAAGCUUGACGGAGCAACGCCGCGUGAGUGAUGAAGGUCUUCGGAUCGUAAAACUCUGUUAUUAGGGAAGAACAAAUGUGUAAGUAACUAUGCACGUCUUGACGGUACCUAAUCAGAAAGCCACGGCUAACUACGUG